rnacentral:rRNA from 1 species
AAUGGGUCAGCGACUUAUAUUCUGUAGCAAGGUUAACCGAAUAGGGGAGCCGGAGGGAAACCGAGUCUUAAUUGGGCGUUAAGUUGCAGGGUAUAGACCCGAAACCCGGUGAUCUAGCCAUGGGCAGGUUGAAGGUUGGGUAACACUAACUGGAGGACCGAACCGACUAAUGUUGAAAAAUUAGCGGAUGACCUGUGGCUGGGGGUGAAAGGCCAAUCAAACCGGGAGAUAGCUGGUUCUCCCCGAAAGCUAUUUAGGUAGCGCCUCGUGAAUUCAUCUCCGGGGGUAGAGCACUGUUUCGGCUAGGGGGCCAUCCCGGCUUACCAACCCGAUGCAAACUGCGAAUACCGGAGAAUGUUAUCACGGGAGACACACGGCGGGUGCUAACGUCCGUCGUGAAGAGGGAAACAACCCAGACCGCCAGCUAAGGUCCCAAAGUCAUGGUUAAGUGGGAAACGAUGUGGGAAGGCCCAGACAGCCAGGAUGUUGGCUUAGAAGCAGCCAUCAUUUAAAGAAAGCGUAAUAGCUCACUGGUCGAGUCGGCCUGCGCGGAAGAUGUAACGGGGCUAAACCAUGCACCGAAGCUGCGGCAGCGACGCUGAUGCGUUGUUGGGUAGGGGAGCGUUCUGUAAGCCUGCGAAGGUGGCCUGUGAGGGUUGCUGGAGGUAUCAGAAGUGCGAAUGCUGACAUAAGUAACGAUAAAGCGGGUGAAAAGCCCGCUCGCCGGAAGACCAAGGGUUCCUGUCCAACGUUAAUCGGGGCAGGGUGAGUCGACCCCUAAGGCGAGGCCGAAAGGCGUAGUCGAUGGGAAACGGGUUAAUAUUCCCGUACUUGGUGUUACUGCGAAGGGGGGACGGAGAAGGCUAUGUUGGCCGGGCGACGGUUGUCCCGGUUUAAGCGUGUAGGUGUGUGUUCCAGGUAAAUCCGGUUCACUUUAACACUGAGGCGUGAUGACGAGGCACUACGGUGCUGAAGCAACAAAUGCCCUGCUUCCAGGAAAAGCCUCUAAGCAUCAGGUAACAUCAAAUCGUACCCCAAACCGACACAGGUGGUCAGGUAGAGAAUACCAAGGCGCUUGAGAGAACUCGGGUGAAGGAACUAGGCAAAAUGGUGCCGUAACUUCGGGAGAAGGCACGCUGACACGUAGGUGAAGUGAUUUACUCAUGGAGCUGAAGUCAGUCGAAGAUACCAGCUGGCUGCAACUGUUUAUUAAAAACACAGCACUGUGCAAACACGAAAGUGGACGUAUACGGUGUGACGCCUGCCCGGUGCCGGAAGGUUAAUUGAUGGGGUCAGCGCAAGCGAAGCUCCUGAUCGAAGCCCCGGUAAACGGCGGCCGUAACUAUAACGGUCCUAAGGUAGCGAAAUUCCUUGUCGGGUAAGUUCCGACCUGCACGAAUGGCGUAAUGAUGGCCAGGCUGUCUCCACCCGAGACUCAGUGAAAUUGAACUCGCUGUGAAGAUGCAGUGUACCCGCGGCAAGACGGAAAGACCCCGUGAACCUUUACUAUAGCUUGACACUGAACAUUGAGCCUUGAUGUGUAGGAUAGGUGGGAGGCUUUGAAGUGUGGACGCCAGUCUGCAUGGAGCCGACCUUGAAAUACCACCCUUUAAUGUUUGAUGUUCUAACGUGGACCCGUGAUCCGGGUUGCGGACAGUGUCUGGUGGGUAGUUUGACUGGGGCGGUCUCCUCCUAAAGAGUAACGGAGGAGCACGAAGGUUGGCUAAUCCUGGUCGGACAUCAGGAGGUUAGUGCAAUGGCAUAAGCCAGCUUGACUGCGAGCGUGACGGCGCGAGCAGGUGCGAAAGCAGGUCAUAGUGAUCCGGUGGUUCUGAAUGGAAGGGCCAUCGCUCAACGGAUAAAAGGUACUCCGGGGAUAACAGGCUGAUACCGCCCAAGAGUUCAUAUCGACGGCGGUGUUUGGCACCUCGAUGUCGGCUCAUCACAUCCUGGGGCUGAAGUAGGUCCCAAGGGUAUGGCUGUUCGCCAUUUAAAGUGGUACGCGAGCUGGGUUUAGAACGUCGUGAGACAGUUCGGUCCCUAUCUGCCGUGGGCGCUGGAGAACUGAGGGGGGCUGCUCCUAGUACGAGAGGACCGGAGUGGACGCAUCACUGGUGUUCGGGUUGUCAUGCCAAUGGCACUGCCCGGUAGCUAAAUGCGGAAGAGAUAAGUGCUGAAAGCAUCUAAGCACGAAACUUGCCCCGA